rnacentral:rRNA from 1 species
AUUGAACGCUGGCGGCAUGCCUUACACAUGCAAGUCGAACGGUAACAGGUCUUCGGAUGCUGACGAGUGGCGAACGUGUGAGUAAUACAUCGGAACGUGCCCGAGAGUGGGGGAUAACGAGGCGAAAGCUUUGCUAAUACCGCAUACGAUCUCAGGAUGAAAGCAGGGGACCGCAAGGCCUUGCGCUCACGGAGCGGCCGAUGGCAGAUUAGGUAGUUGGUGGGAUAAAAGCUUACCAAGCCGACGAUCUGUAGCUGGUCUGAGAGGACGACCAGCCACACUGGGACUGAGACACGGCCCAGACUCCUACGGGAGGCAGCAGUGGGGAAUUUUGGACAAUGGGCGCAAGCCUGAUCCAGCCAUGCCGCGUGCAGGAUGAAGGCCUUCGGGUUGUAAACUGCUUUUGUACGGAACGAAAAGACUCUGGCUAAUACCUGGGGUCCAUGACGGUACCGUAAGAAUAAGCACCGGCUAACUCUGUGCCAGCCGCCGCGGUAACAC